ACUUAAUUAGUUUAUUGAGAAAUAUUGAUUUGUGGAAUCAAAGGAGAAGGUUUUUCAUUAAGUA
rnacentral:tRNA from 2 species